UGACCAGAACCAGAAGCAGACUGGGACCUGUGGACUUGCUCCAUGUGUGAUGUGGGUCACUUGGAGCCCAGCUGUGCUGUCAUGGCUUUCCAGAGGUUAUCUUCUAGUGCCUGGGGAGGUUGUCAGAGUGCCUUCUAUUACCUGACUUUGCAUAUAAUCUGUAUUUUUUCUCUUCAGAUAGCUUCCCCUUGAGGGAAGGAGGAGGAAUUGUUUUCAUCUUGGUUGCCGGUCACUGAGGCUUCAGUUUGCAGUGUGUUUCAGGGCACGUGCCGUGCCUGACAAACUUCAUGUGCAGGGGGAAAAGCCUUGUAAGGAAAGACUCCUUUUGUGUUACUGAUUAUAAAGGGAAUUAAUUUCCAAGCUGAAGAUCACUGUUACUGCUUGGCAAGGAGAUUGCUCCCUUCUUUCCAGAGAGCUGUAUUGGAUCUGUAAGGCAUGGCCAGUCAUUAGAGCCAUCAGGUCUAAUGGACACAUCCAAGCUCUCUUUUUCCACUUCUCCCUGCACUUUUCCACCCAAAAACAUUUUGCAUGGCAGGUGGGAAGGUGUGGUAUGCCUCACAUGCAACACAUCCAAGACACACCACGGUCUGACUGCGCCUAGCAGGCUGCUUAAACUGCGAUCCCAUGGGACAGAGACACAACCUCCCCGGGGAGAAGUUCCUGCUGUGGUGCCAGCCCGAGGGCUGUGGCUCAGGGCCGUGUCUGCUUGGGAAGUGUUGGCUCAGACCACGUCGCAUUCCAUCGCCUGCUUCCCACAGUGGCUCAGGAGCAGGUUUCUGAGGCAGGCAGGUACCAGAAGCCCUAAACCCCCAGAGUGGGGCAGCUUUUCUGCAGCCCUGAUGCCUCGCUGGUGCAUCGUCUCAUCACCCUUGUGUAGGAGCAGAGGUGGCUCUGCUGCUGGAGGUGUCGUGCGUGGCAGCAGAGCUGCGUGCAGGCCUGCAGGAUGACAGGCCGUGCCCCACCAGCAGCAGGCGGGUGCACAUCCACGGCUGCAGCCCUCGUUGUGCCCCAAACAGGAUGCCUAGCUGGGGAGGCAGGCUCUGACAGCACUUCAGGUCUUGUUUCUGAUGGCUCCGAGACCUCCUCUGAUGUUUCUUGUCUGCAGCGUGCUUUCAAACAGCCUCCAGGUCUCCGACAGCAGGCCUCAUGGCUCUGUUAGCUGGUCCAGGCACUGAGGGCUUGCUUGCUGGUAGAUGGGUGUGUUGGGUUUGCUGGCAGCGAAGACAUUUUGAUGACUCUUGUGAAGAUCUGGUUAUUUGCCACCUUGCACCUGGUGUGAGCUGUGUCUGCUGGAGUUCAGCUCCGUGCCUCUUGCGGAAGCUCACCUCCAUGUGCGGUCGGGUUGUCAAGUUUGAGCACAAGCAUUAGAGCUACCUGUGACCCUCUGGCAAUGCAGAAGAGAAUCGACUGAGAAGGUGUUAACCUCUUCAAAGGAGCCUUGUGCAACUCCCCGUUGAAGAGCAGGGCUGAGAGCAGAGUGGCAAGAGCUGCUGGCUGUGUUAGUCAUCCAGAAAGAGACUUGUUUUUCCCUCUCCCCCUCCCCGCCCUGGCACGGGGGUAGAGAUUCUUUCUCACUGCUUGGUGUGGCCAAAAGUUAGAAGAAGAAACGUGUUAUCAUCAAGGGAAUCAGUCAACUCUCCCCUAAAAACAUAAGCUUUUAUUUGUGCAGCUCUGGCAGCGAGAUUUAGCGGGGUGUUGAAUUUUGCUGCCAUAGCCCCCAGAAUCUGAAACCAGUUCUGCUGGGAGCCAUGCAAACCUGAACACGUGUGUGUGUUCACACCUCCUUCCACAUUAACGUUCGCAUGUAGAUGGCUGAUUCCCUGAUAAUAAGAUGCAAAACGGUGUGGGUACUGCAGAAGUCUCGGGUUGUGCUGACUACCUGUUGACAUGAAGGAACUGGAGCGCAGGAGGCCUCUGCAGCCACCAGUCACCAUUUUCAGCAGGGUACGGGCACGUUGACUCUCCUUGUAAUUAAAGUUGGUAAACCAGAAUGCCAAACUUUAAUUUCUAGACCGCACGAGGCCCGCAGGAUCAAAAUCUGAGGAAGUAACCAGUGAUAACCUUGGUCAGACAGAGAUUUUUCUAGGUCCAACUCAGCACCUUCAUUUUCAGAUGGUUGGGUAGGAAAUAGGUUGCAUUUGCUGGGUGUGUGAAACAUGUAAAAGCACUCGCGUUUCUUGGAAAUGAAGGCUUGAAGGGGUCUUUGGAAAAGGUGCUUUAACUCGUGAGUCACUUGUGAAGAUUUUGUUUUUUAUUACGUGGCAGGUUAAGAGCCUUUUUUAAAAGCCUUUCUCUGUUUCUGGAAGCACUUGGCCACUUGAAGUUGUCGGUUAGAGUGGUACAAAUUAGGAUGUUGUCCCAGAGGAGCACAGCUCUUGAGGCUUACACUGCCGCGUGACCUCCAGGACAGGCACAGACUGCUGAGGUCAGUGAAUUUGUCAUGGUCCUGCCACUACCCGGGGCUUCUGCAGCAGUUUUAGGAUUCUUCAAGCCUUAACAGACACACGAAAUCCAUCUGCUCUGGCUGCAAAGCCAAUGAAACUGUCAGCACCUAGGGAAAAACACAUCUCCUCAGGCUUUACCCACUUGGAGGUCACGGAGCUGCUUGUGAUGGUAUGAACAAGGGGCAGCUGAGACCUCAGCUGAUUUCAGUUUCCCCAGAACCAUCCUGUGAUGGCUCAGCUUGAAAGGAGAAAUACCCUGGUGUGGAAUGGGAACCCAUCAGUAGCAGCCUUGGGGAAGAAGGGGUCGAUGCCUCGAUGGAUAAUUUCCCUGGAUUCCAGAGCAGUGGAGCCUUCUGACCUAGUUGUGGGCAGUACUGAUUUGAAGCUAGGGUGAUCAACAAACAGCUCUUGGCAGGAUCAGAAGGAUAUGAUACGAACUGUUACGAUACACACAAGAUACAUCCUGUGCAGGAAAUACAAGGGAAAAACCAAAGAAACGAAGUCACAAGGUUAGUGAGAGCAUCGUACGUCCCGGCGCAGCCUCGGUGUGAAGCAGCUCCUGCCAGAGACCCUCUUUGGGAAGCUCUGCCUUUUAUACUUCCUGCGGCUCUGCAAGAAGCCAGUGACGUGCCCUGCUGUCAGUGACAUUUAGAAGACCCUCCUCCUUCUCCUCGGGCUCUCACCAGCAGUGGAAAGUUGUGCUCCCUUCAGACACACGAUGAGUUCAGGUGCUUCCUCAGUGCCUCCCGCUGAGGGCUGUGCACACACGCACCAGCACACACACUUUUUUUACUGAGAACUCAAUAAAAUGAAGCAGACUCUGCUUUUGCACCUGAAUAUGAGAAUUUGUGGUAAGCGGACAAGAGGAAAGAGUCUCCUUUAUUGUUCUCUCCCCACAAUAGAUCCCGUUUCAUCUGUCAGAGCUUGAUGCUGUAGGAAAGGGGGAAGUUUCCAUCUUUUCUGCUAGACCCUUCCUAGGGAAGGUGCUCACCUACCAUGUAACAAAUCUCUCUAACUGCCAGCAGCAGGCAUCCCCUUUCCCGUCUCUCACAUGCUUGCAGCACCCUUUUUAGACAAUCAACAGCAAGUGGACUUCCCCACCUCCUCUUUCUGCUUUUUGGUGUUUUCGCGCUACCAUCUGCUAAGUAUCAGCACACACCAUCUUCCUCAAAAAGGUUUUGCACAGUUGUGGUCCUGUGCCUUCCUCAGCAUCACGUUACUGCAGAAGUUUCAAACCUCAGCAUACAGCCCUGGGAGGACCUGCAGCACUGGCAGUUCUGGUCCCUGCCUUGCCAGGGGGUUGAUUUGUCUAUUCCUCUUCAUAAAUGGAUCAUCUUCAGUAUGAAUCAGUGGCUUUUGGUUUGUGGCUGUACAAGGUGGAUGCCUGUUCUUGGAACUGAUUCUUCUAACAGGUAGAAGCGUAACCAGAAGAGUAGAAAAAAGAAACCCUAUUGUAGCUAUGUUACCUCUUGACUGAUCUAGAGAUAAUGUUUACCCUGCAUCAGACAAAUAAUCGUGUAAUUGGGUAGCUAUCAUAAGAUGCAUCUGUGCUGGGCAGCCAGUGUCUGGCUCUCAUGAAUGCCUGUGCUUUUCAAGAUAAUCUGAUCAGUGUCUUACCAAAUAAUCUGAUCAUUAUAUGGGAUAUGUAUUCCAAGGAGCAGAUGAGUUGCAUUGGGUGAACUGAUUGGUUACAUCAGCACCAGCACUGCAGUGUUACUGCUCUUAAAACUUCCCAUGGCAGAAUCCUGCUCUUUGCAAGUACCCUUAGCCAGCAUGCAAGCCGCAAUUCUUCAGUGAAGGAUUCUUCUCCUAAACAUUAAAACACAUGUGACCCCUGAAAGUCUGGCAGUCUGUGGCUCUUGAGAAAAGUAAACACUAUGUGGUGCUAAGGAGAGUGGAUUUGAUUUUCUCUAGCAUAAUUAAGCACUGCAAGAUCUGAAGGUUGUGUUUAAAAUACUGUGGGAUGUACCUAUAUUAAGAUAACGUGAUGGUUAAUCAGAGCUAAAACAGGACUUGAUUAGAAUCUGAGUACAUAAAAAUUUGAGUCUGCUCCUGAAACUACUGAUGAUUUGCUGCCUUGCCUUUAACUAAUUAAUUCAACUUGAAGCAGAACCUGUCACUUCCUAGCUUUCAAUGCCAAGUUAAAUAUAUCUGAAGUCACUGAUCCUGUGGGUGGUCUCUGAACAUACCCAGGCAUCCGUCUGCAGUUUAGUCCCCCUAAAACAUUAUGCCAGCCCAGCUUUCACUUAAAUACCAUCUAACUGCUUCCCUCUUAGGAAGCGAGUGCCACCGUGGUCCUGAUUCCAUUCUGGGGUCCUUAACGUGCCCUCCACACCAUGUAGGAUGUUGGAUCCCCACAGACUCACCCAAGGUCAGGUACCUGAAGACUAUCAACAUUUACUUGGCUUCACAGAAGGUGACCUGCACUUUGCUUAGCUCUGUCUAAGCAUGCAUCGCUGGCUUUUCAAUACUCUUGCUUUUGACUUAUCUGUGUAGGCAGGUGCAUUUCACAUCUCUGUGACUAUUUAUUGCUCUAUUUUCCUUUUGUUCAUCAGUUAUCCAAGCAGGUACGCUGCCUUUGAGAGUUAUGUCUUCUAACCACUUCCGCCAAGAAGGAUGAGAGAUGAAAGGCUUCUCUCAGGUGGGACUCCAAGCAGCUUCAUCCAGCUCUGCCCGUGGCCGCACAGGACAUCACCCACCACGUAUUUCAUGUACUGGCUCACGGAGCUGCGCAAGAACUGCUGGCAAUUCCAGGGAUAAUCCUUUAUGUAAGCAGAGCUCCUACAACUGAAGUCCUCAUUUUGCUUGAAGGAGAUUAGCUUUGCAAGACUAUCCCCUGUGAUACAGUUCUCAUCCCAGAUGCAGAGACCAGGGACACCCUUGGACAACAGUUUCCAAAUUCUCUUAGGACAGCUCAGGAUGUGUUUGUGCUGUCGGUGGAGUCAGGGAGAUGGCUUCAGGAACUGAAAGGUGUAGAGGGAACAUCCAGCUGCGACAUCCUUGAAGCCUUAAGGAAGCAGAAAAAUGCUAGUGGUUGGGUUUGCAAAGGGGAAAAAGGAAGUGCAGUAUGAAAUCCGUGCUCACAUUAAAAUUGUAGUUUGAAUCAAUUGUUUAAGGAAUGUGAUAGAAUGUGAGAAAAUUUGUAUUGUAGAUAAACAAUGAUAUGCACGUAAGAGGCCACAGUAACUCGUCGUAUCUGGAUUCACACAAAAAUUGUCAACAUUUUGUCUCAAGAAAAAAGACUGACGUAUAUCGUAAAGGGAUUGUGUUCUGGUUCCUAAUUUUGUUCUGGAUAAGAGAUUCUUUUAAAUAGUUGGACAACCGGAAGUCCAAUGUAGGAUUCAAAAUACUGUAUUGGGCUCCCACCAGAUGGCAGUCCGGGACAUCUAACCAACAUUUGUAGCUGCUUUGAAACCAGCAUAUAGCUUCUUUUCCACUGAACUUGUGGUCUCUACAUUGCGUUGUUCUGAUUGCAAAAAAAUUCCCUCUUAAUCCUUUGUAUUGCUGUAAAUUGGUAUAUUUAAUUUGUAUGGUAUCAAGUAUUCCUUUAAUCCCACUUGUAAACAGUAUUUUAUUUUUUAGCAUGUGCUUUUUCUAUUGUUGGAUUAACUUCUUAAAAUGGGGUGCACUGUACCAUAGGCACAAUAUAUGGUAGAGGAAAAUACCCAGUAAAAUACAGCUCAGGAUCUACAGUCUUAAAUUAUGACAUGAAGAACGAAAGGAGGCUAAUACCUUAAAGCUUUUUGAGUCCUUUUUUAUUAGCCAAGAAAUCUGGAAAAUUAGGUUAGAAUAGUGAAAUUAUUUUAGCUCAAAAAUAUAGAAAAUCACAUCUAAAUGAAUGCCUAACGUUUGUAUCACAUUUCUAGUUACUGAACAAAGAACUGAUGAUAGAAUUAAACACCAUGAAAAUAAUGCAGGUAACACCAAUAGACUGAAGUAGAAAGUACAUUGCAUGCCUGCUAAGAAUGAAAAUGCAUGUUUUAUGUAAAAGAAUCUUAGUUAAAAAGCCAAUCUAUUUUUUUACUUCAUACUAAUGAAAAAAGUUAUUUAUCCACUUCUGCUUUGAAAGCAACGUGGAAUGAAUGGAUCCUUUGCAAUAUCAGGCUGUGCCUUAUAUCUUCUCUUCAACUUCCUUAACGUGGGAUGCAACAACCUUUCCGUCUACCACUUCCUCAACAAUUGUCUUGAUCUUUCUAGUUUUGGUAGGAUCUAAACAGCAUAAACAAGACAAAAGAAUUAUGGAAUUGUUAACAUGCCUUGCAUCAACAAUUAAUCCUCUUUCCUUUUAAGUUGGCUACUUGCUAUGAUGAACUCUAUGAUGUAGUUAAUCAGAAUAGCAUACAUUAUUUUACUUAUAAUAAUAACUUUAGAAAUAAUAUUAUUGGGACAUUUCAUCCCUCAUUCAGACAGUGUUGAGAAUUCUAAAUGAGUACUUAAUGAUUCUGUAUCUGCUAAUUUUAAUGGUUAUAUAAAGCAGUGUAUAUAAUUAACAUGGGAACACAUUUAUUUGAAUGGUAAUGGUCAGAACUAUUAUAACAGCUGUAAGAUAAAUAUGUAUUCAGUUGAGUUCUACCUACCCUGAGAAGAAUCCAGUGAUUGUGUUUGUGAUUUAGACCCUGUCAAAGAUGAGCUUUCAAAUGAAAGUCCUUGUCCUCCACUCCUAAAAAUGAAUGAGAGACAUACUAUAUUGCAGAAUGUUUGUCAGAUGCAUGAGAAUGUGUAUUAUUCCCUUUUCAUGCUGCCAUUCAUUAAUUAAUAUAGUCACUGAGCAAAAUGGUUCAUUUGUUAUAUUUGUAAAGAAGAGCUGAUUAUUCGGAAUCUUUGUAUGUGCUUUCCUGUCUUUUGGUGAACGUAGCACUUGUUUAUCCCUCUUCUCUUUUCCUGGAAAGGAUAUUGCUACAGAAAGUAAAACAGAUAUUUUAUAUGAAUUAUUUACUUACACAAACUCUCCAUCCAUCAAACGACGGUAGGUUUCAAUCUCCAUUUCCAGACGACUCUUGAUGUCUAGAAGUUGUUGAUACUCUGCAUUCUGCCGUUCCAUAUCAGCCCUGACCUGAAACAGCUGAGACUCCAGAUUCCCAAUCUGAAGUUGCAUUUGUGAAAGCUGAGCGCAGUAACCUCCUUCUGUUUCUGCUAAAGUGUCUUCAAGGGAUUUUUUCUGUGUAAGAAGGAUUUUAAAUAAUCUGACUGAGGAAAACAGGAUUCUUUACAAAUAUAAAGACAGCUGAAACAGUUUAUGGGAGUAACUAUGGCCUCAAUACUUAGAGACAUUUAUUUUUUUCUUGAAAUACUAGUUUGGUAAUUGGCCUUUGCUGCUACUUCGCUGAAUGUGAAAAUAAAAGCUCAUUUGUUUUAUAACAUGCUACUUGCAAUCCAAUUAUAUAUAUAUGACUACUAUUUAGGAACUAAAAGAGUGUAGAUUUUAUAGGAAAUAAAUGCAAGUCACAAAUCCUGUAGAAUAGUGCAAGAUAUAAAAAAUGCUUUUAAGUUGGAAAAUUGUCAAGUUAGCAGUUUCCUUUCAACCUACCAUGGCAAGCUGGGAUUGUAGUUCAAUUUCCAAGCUCUGGAGAGUCCGUUUUAGAUCUGUGAUCUCGCUCUUUCCUGACUGAAGCUGCUCAGUAUUGGUGGAGAUUUCCCUUUUCAGCUCCCCACUCUGAAAUGGCAAGAAGCAGAUUGUAAUUCUCCUGUUCCGAAUACUCAAUUCUCUUUUACAUGCAUUUGGCUGCAUUUGCUAUUUAUGUGGCUGUUACUUUUUCAUUGAACCAUGCUUCAGCCUCUUUACGGUUUUGCUCGGCGAUGACUUCAUACUGUCCCCUCAUGUCAUUCAAAAGCUUGGUGAGGUCAAUUCCUGGAGCAGCAUCCAUUUCAACGCUGACUUGGCCAACUGCAUUGCUCUGGAAGCCCUGAAGCUCCUGGAGAGAUUUGAAAUAAAAGAUUCUGUUAAUAAAAGGCAAAAUAGUUCUACCAGAAAUAUUUAUAGAGAAAUAGGAGUGAUGUAAAUUCUUCUGCAACAAGAAUCCUUCCUAAUUAAGUUUUAUUUCAUCUCUGAAGAACAUAAAACAGUGAAAUAUUAAUAUAGAUCUUGCCUGUCAGUUCCAUUUGUCUCAAUAGUCUUGUUAUUUAACUUUUUGAUUCUUCUCUAGCCUGUACACCUAGGCUAUGAGUAAAAAUAAUAACUGGAAGACUGAUAAGCAUCUGAGUUGGCUCCCAUUUCCUUUAUAAUUUUGAAUGGCAAAUUUUGUAUCAACUUUCUGCAACACAGUGACUGCUGUGGUGGUAGUGUAUAGGCAGAAUAAAAUAAGCAACUGGCAUCUGAGUUGAUUUGGCAAGAGGAAAAUGUGAAAAGUUUAGUUUUGCUAAGCCAGGAGCUAAGAGAACAGCAACUUGUUGGGGCCAGCAAUCCAUAAGCCCUGAGUGUACAUGAAGAUAUCUUCUGCGUUCUUAGAGAAAUGGCCUGGCAGUAUUUCUAGUGGCAGAACUUAGAAGAACAGUAAUCCUGCAUCAUCUAGAGCCCAUAGAUUAGGUGCCUAUUUCUUUCCCUCCUUCUCUUAGCAAACUCAGAACAGCAAACAAACCAAAUAAUGGAACCAAGGAGCUCCCACUGGCAUAAAUAAGGGAAUAAUUUGAUGUUUCGUACUUCCAUCUACCUUGUUAUGAAUAUACAAAGAAAUAAAAAAAGUACCUCUUCAUGAUUCUUCUUAAGAUAAGCCAGUUCUUCAUUCAGACUUUCAAUCUGCAUCUCCAAAUCAGCUCUCGUCAAGGUCAGCUCAUCGAGAACUCUGCGCAGACCAUUGAUGUCAGCCUCCACACUCUGGCGAAGAGCCACUUCAUUCUCAUAUCUGUGAAGAAAGUAAUUAAAUGUGCUUUUUAUGUGGUUGAUGAGGUCAAAUGCAAACUUACUCUGUGCUUAUAUAGCUUUUAAUAUGAAAUCUUAAUACACAAAACUAUUACAAUAUUAAUAAUUAACAUAUUCUGCAAUGAGAUACUUCUAAAUACAUAGGAUUUUUUCCCUUAAAAUAAUAGUGACAGGUUUUGC